GAAUGAUGUACCGGAACAAGCAGAAACUGAUCUUAGCAUUAGCUCUCCUCUCUGUAUUUACAGUUUUGAAUUUCACAUUUUAUCAUCAUUAUGGUAAUCAUGGCACAGCAGCAGAUCAGUUCGAGGGUUUUGAUCAUAUCAAUGGGAGCUUAGCAGCAAUAGUUCCAAACACUGUGCAUUACAUUUUGUUCGGGACAGAUUCCUUGAAUUUUAUUUCAUUUCUUUCAAUGACAUCUGUUUUGAAGAUACAAAAUCCCGAUUCAAUCCUCAUUCACACUGACAGGGACCGUCUUCAAGGAUACUACUGGGAUUUGGUUCAAAAUUUAGCGAAGCUCAAAAAAACUCAAAUUCAAUUGGCUCUCAUUGAGAGACCAACACAUGUCUUUGGUCAACCUCUCAGCUCAGUAUAUCAUAUGACAGAUGUGUCACGUAUUCUUGUUUUAAUGAAUUUUGGUGGCAUAUACCUCGACACAGACACAAUAGUCCUCCGGUCCUUGAACCCCCUUUUAAAGUAUGAAAUGGUUGUUGGCUGGCCGCAGAAAGAGAAUAUUGGAACUCAGAUUUUGAUUGCACAUAAAGACGCAAGAUUCUUAAAACAAUGGCUCAAUGGUUACCGACGGUACCAACCAAGAAACUGGUAUUACAAUGCUGGUCAGUUCCCCGCUGAAGUCCUUUCAAAGAAACCUGAGCUGGCUCAUAGAGAAGAUACCCUGUUGGGUGUUCAGAAUUUGAUAGAAAAAUUAUAUGUAGCUGAUGAAUGGAGCAGUUGGAGGAACUUUUACUCUCUUCACUUGCUUAGCCGCCACCAUUCAGAUCCAGACAAGUUGGAUGAGACCUCCGUCAAAUUGUAUAAACACCCUUUUGGUGAAAUAGCAUCAUGGCUCCUAUAUACCGUGGAGCCACCUCUAGUUAUCGAUGGCUUCAAACGCUGGAAAUUUUAAGAUCAUCCGCGCGGAGAAGGUGGGCUGAAACGGAGUAAGAAUGUCUGAUAUUCCUAAUUGGUCAAAGGUAUGUUUCUCUACUUAGCGUGUUUCUCUCCCUUUCUUUCAAUUUUUUUCUUCAUUUUUUCAUUGUAUUUUUUUUUUUAUUUUUUUUUUUUUUUACAUUCAGUGCCAACUGCUUCUUUCAAACCAAUUCAUUUUUCUAUAACUCGUAUUCAAUCCAUUGUUCUAUCCCGGCCGAUUUGCAAACGGACGUAUUUAUGCUAAAAUGAACUGUGCCUCACGCAAACCCUAUGCACAUAGUCCCUUUCAGCAUAAACACGUCCAAAUCUCUUCCAUAUUAUGAGUAAUCGCGUGUGUGUUCUUCCGUCGUAAAGGUUGUUUGGCUCAAAGAACAGAUCCUGAAGGCUAGUAGCCUCAUUUUCAGAUUGUUUCCCUCUUAGAAUUAUUAUGUUCACCAAGAUCGCAUUUGGUAAAAAGGAUCUUAAACCAUCAAAGCAAG
rnacentral:lncRNA from 1 species